rnacentral:misc_RNA from 1 species
CGUGGAUGUGCUUUGAGGUUCAUUUUACAUUAUGUGAGUAAUCACAGUUCGAUGCAUCCAACAAAGUAGCAAAUUUUUGUUUUAGUAUUACACAGAAAACCUUAAGAUUAUUGCAAUCACACUGAACCAUAAUGGUUAUCUUGAUUUAGUUCUACAAAAGCACAAAUCUGUGGUUUUGUAAUAACACAAUAGAAAAAGAAAAAUACAAGUUGUCAGAGAGAGAGACAGAGAGAGCACAAUUCUUAGAUAGAACUGUUAAAUGGCCGUGGAUGUGCUUUGAGGUUCAUUUUACAUUAUGUGAGUAAUCACAGUUCGAUGCAUCCAACAAAGUAGCAAAUUUUUGUUUUAGUAUUACACAGAAAACCUUAAGAUUAUUGCAAUCACACUGAACCAUAAUGGUUAUCUUGAUUUAGUUCUACAAAAGCACAAAUCUGUGGUUUUGUAAUAACACAAUAGAAAAAGAAAAAUACAAGUUGUCAGAGAGAGAGACAGAGAGAGCACAAUUCUUAGAUAGAACUGUUAAAUG